rnacentral:rRNA from 1 species
CUCUAUGGCCAUACCACCCUGAGCAUGCUCAGUCUCAUCUGAUCUUGGAAACUAAGCAAGGUCAGGCCUGGUUAGUACUUGAAUGGGAGAAACGACUUUGUUCAGU